rnacentral:rRNA from 1 species
GAGUUUGAUCUUGGCUCAGGAUGAACGCUGGCGGCGUGCUUAACACAUGCAAGUCGAACGAAGCACUCAGGAGCGAUUUCGGUCAAUCCUGCUUGACUGAGUGGCGGACGGGUGAGUAAACGCGUGAGUAACCUACCUCGCAGUGGGGAAUAACAGUUGGAAACGACUGCUAAUACCGCAUAAUGCAGAGAGACCGCAUG